ACAGGGACAGGAUGAGACUGACAGGCCUGACUGAAUAACAAAGCCCCGUGGACUGUGAUUGGUAAAGAAGACUGAGGUUCCCUGGCCUGAGAGAAGUGAAGAUCCAGCCAUGAGAGGAGCUAGCCAGUGAAUCUGGCCCAUCUCAGUGAUAUUAAGCUUGAGGGCCAUUGUGAAUUGAAUUUCAUCUCUGGGAACUGAGAGGACCCUGGAUGAAGCAACUUAUUGUGUUUAAGGAACUUUGGUGAUGGCUGAAAACUGGAUACCAAUUUUCACAAAGUGGAUCAAUGUGGAUGCCCCAGAUAAUAGUCACUGCAGUACAGAACUUGAGCAACCUUCUAGAAUGGGUUACUAAAGAAGAUGCUAGUGCCUGGAAAGGGAGAUUUUGAGAGCCAAGUUGGAUUGGACCAUCCUCACUCUCUUUCCUCACAGGUUUAAUUGACUUGACCAUGAAUCAAUAAGGAAUGCUGUAGACAUAGUGGGCCUGGAUUUCAUGAGGCAGUUGAAAAUGUUUCCCAUGAGAUCCUCAUGGGAACUAAAUAAUAUGGCCUGAGGGAUAAGGAGAUUUAUGUGGCUUUCUAGUUAGCUGAACUGCCAGGGGUAAGGGGUGCUGGGAAAUGGUCCGUGUGUCAACCUGCCCAAGAUCUGGAAAGUGGUGUCCAGAAAACAUCGUCUGCCUCAUCUUAUUCAACAGGAACAUGGCUGGCAGGAGAUUUUAACCUCAUUUGACAUACUUUUUUUUUUAAAUGUAAGUGUGUUUUAAUGUUAAUGCGUAAAUGAAAAUUAACUGUUAAGAAAUUUAAUAUCCUUUUGAUCCCUCCCCAUUCUUGCCAAGAUAAACUCCAAUCAUGUAAGUUUCCUAUGCUUGAUUGAUUGCAAAAUGGCUACAAUUAUUCAUCCCUUCCUAUAUAGAGAGACUUUGCAAUAAGACUUUGUAGCACCUGCCAUCAAGAGGUAGUCUAUGCCCUUGUCCUUUGAAUCUGAAGUGCUCUUGUGACUUGCCAUGGUCAAUAAAAUGUGGCAGAAGUUAUGAUAUGCCAGUUCCAACCCUAGGUCUGAAGUGGCCUGUAUGUUGCCACUCUUCCUGGCAGCACUGUGUGAACUAGCUCAGGCUAGCCUGACACACAGCGAGAAACACAUUGCCUUCUCACCCAGCCAAUGGCCAGCAAGUGAGUGAGGCCACCCAAGACCAGCCAGCCCCCAAUCUGCCACUCGACCCCUGACACAUUAGUGAGCCCAGUGGUGAUCACACAGGCCCCAGCCAGUUCACCAGAGCUUUGCAGCUGACUGGUUGACUCGUGAACAAUAAUAAAGGUUUAUUGUCUGAAGUCACUAGGUUUUGAAGGUGUGUUGUUAGGUAGCAAAAAGCCAAUUAUUACAGCCCACACAUAUCUGUCCUACUUCAGCUCUUGUCUUGCUACUCUGGCCCUUAUAUUCCAUGCUCCAGUCAUGCUGUGAACAAACUGUAUGUCAAUUCCUCCACAGCUUUGCAAACACAAACCUCUGCCUGUCUAUCCUCCCUCCUCCCAUACCCAUCCUUCUUCAUCUGGCUAAUUCCUACUCAUCUUCUGAGACUCAUCUCAGGCACCACUUUUGGUAGUCUAGGCAGCAUUCUCUGAGCUCCCUGUCCCCAGACCUCUUCACACCCUGGUUGAGUGCCUCUCCUCCUGCACACUGCUGAUGGUCCUAAUCUAUGCCUUUGUCAAGCACUUAUCCUAAAUUAAAAUCAUCUGUUUACUCAGCUUCCUAUUUUCAUUUCACUAUGAAUUCUUUGAAGGUAGCAAUCGUGUCCUUUAUCUGUUAUUGCAACAACUAGUACAAUUCCUCAAAAAUGGUGCUCUGUAAAUGUUUGUUAAAUGAUAUGAAUUCAAUUUUAAAAUAAUGAGUAUAUUUAGUUUUGAAAAGAGAAGUGUGUUAGUCCGUUUUCAUGCUGCGGAUAAAGACUUACCCGAGACUGAGCAAUUUAUAAAGAAAAAGAGGUUUAAUGGACUCACAGUUCCACAUGGCUAGGGAGGUAGAAGGCAAAAGGCACAUCUUACAUCGUGGCAAACAAGUGAGAAUGAAAGAACCAAGCAAAAGGGGUUUCCCCUUAUAAAACCAUCAGCUCUUGUGAGACUUAUUCAUUACCACGAGAACAGUAUGGGGGAAACCGCCCUCGUGAUUCAGUUAUCUCCCACCAGGUCCCUCCCACAACAUGUGGGAAUUAUGGGAGCUACAAUUCAAGAUGUGAUUUGGGUGGAGAAGCAGCCAAACCAUAGCAAGAAGAUAUAAAGGGGCUGAUAGAGUUAAUAAAUAUACCAUUAGGCUCGAGAAUAGCCAGAGGUUACCAAUUAGAUCUUCCUUGCUCCAGAGGAACCAGUUGGUAAGUUUUAGUUCCUUUAGCCAUUUAUUUCCAGCAGGUAACAUGUAUUCCUCAAAACAGAUGUCACCACUGACCAACACCCACUGUCUGUAAAGGAAAGCUGAAUAAAACCAUGAGCACCCCCAUAAAGUCUUUCAUUUGGAUGGGAACAAAGAUCAUGCAGUAUAACGUCUCCAAGGCCCAUCUUCCAUCCACCACUGAGUUACUGAUUCUAUCAUUUUAAAGAAAUCAGAAAGAGGCAAUCCUAAAUAUAAUGAAUUCAUGGACAGCAUUUAUUGAUGACCUCAAGGAAAAGACUUCAAAGCAACAUAAUCAUGUUCUUCAAAUCACUUUUUUGAGUCGUCAUAUGGGAGAAACUUACUCUUUAUGGCUCUGAAAGGCAGAGUUUGGACUAAUGAAGGUAAAAUUCAGACAGAUGCAUGUAUGGAUUUCCUAAUAAUUAGAUGUGUUUUAAAAAAUGGAGCAAGAAGAUCUUGAGAAACAGUGCUCUCAUUGUCCCUGGAGAUGUCCGAAGAAAGAUUGUUCGAUAACGCAUCUGCAAAGCUGCAAGAAAGUUUCAUGCCAUGGGAACAGGUGGAGUUCCUUCUAGUUUGCUAUUAAUCAAAAGACAGCUCUAUUUGGGGAUUGCCACAAACCAUUUCCCACAAGCUGUCUGCUAGAAAACUACAUCCCCUGGCCAGAGGUGACCAACUGGGACUGGGGGUGGACAUUUGACAUCAUCCUGAACUUCAAAGACAGAAAUUUGGAUACGGUGGGGGACUGCCUUCUGGCAUGCCCAUAGAGGAAUGUAGGAAGCUUCUCUGCAGAGAAAUACAGUAAUAAAUGCGGAUUGAGCAACUACUGUGUGCCAGGCACUGUGCUAGGCAUGGGCAAGCCUGAAGGAAACAAAUCAAACAAAAUCCUCGCAUUCAUGAAACUCACAUCUAGUAAAACCCAGGAAAUAAAAAUGAGAGGGAGGGAGAAAACAGAAGAGCAUGGCCCCUGAAUGCUGUCUUUGGGUUCUGUGAGAAACUCUAAUGAUUCUCCAAUAAACUUCCUGCUUUGCUCACA
rnacentral:lncRNA from 1 species